rnacentral:rRNA from 1 species
AGUGAACGCUGGCGGUAGGCCUAACACAUGCAAGUCGAACGGCAGCACAGUAAGAGCUUGCUCUUACGGGUGGCGAGUGGCGGACGGGCGAGGAAUACAUCGGAAUCUACUUUUUCGUGGGGGAUAACGUAGGGAAACUUACGCUAAUACCGCAUACGACCUACGGGUGAAAGCAGGGGAUCUUCGGACCUUGCGCGAUUGAAUGAGCCGAUGUCGGAUUAGCUAGUUGGCGGGGUAAAGGCCCACCAAGGCGACGAUCCGUAGCUGGUCUGAGAGGAUGAUCGGCCACACUGGAACUGAGACACGGUCCAGACUCCUACGGGAGGCAGCAGUGGGGAAUAUUGGACAAUGGGCGCAAGCCUGAUCCAGCCAUACCGCGUGGGUGAAGAAGGCCUUCGGGUUGUAAAGCCCUUUUGUUGGGAAAGAAAAGCAGCAGGUUAAUACCCCGCUGUUCUGACGGUACCCAAAGAAUAAGCACCGGCUAACUUCGUG